UGUGUUGGGGGGGGGAGUAGGAGACACGCCGCCGCGCGAGCGCUGUCAGGCCGCUGUUGCUAGGCAACGGGUCGGCGGGCGGGAGCCCGUGAGCGCCGGUCCUUGAGCGCGCGAGCCGAGCUGUGCGGCGGCGCCGGCGGGGGCGCCGCGUGCCCGCCCCCCCAGCCUCCCCGCCGUGAGACGGGACCUCCCUCCCCCGCCCCAUGUGUGCCGGGGAGCGGCCCCCGGGGACCGCGGUUGUGCUGCUUCUACGCGCAUAAGCAGGGAGACUUCCCUUUCGACACGUCCGCUUCCCCCCCGCGCGAGUGAGACACCCGCAGCCCGGCCGUUACAGGCGCGGUCAGGGUGAUUACCUGCGGCUGUCGUCUGCUCUGCCUUGCGUAGCACGAGACUCUGCUGCUUUGAAAUUUAUGCGUGAUGCAGAACCACAAGACAGAACAAGGAUGAGACAGCAAGCUACAAGUUUGGAACCCUUGCAGAAGUCCUGGUGGGGGUGACCUGGUGCUGCCUACAGUCUGCUGCAACUUCUUAGGUGCUGCAACUUCUUCCUAGUUACUACCAGAGGCCAGCAAGAAACACAAUGAAGCUUCAAAGGUUUGAAGACAGCUGCACAUCCUAGCCAGUGUCACAGCCCUGAGGAUAUGAUAGCAGCCUGGGAGCAGCUCCAUGGGUCCUUGGUGCCCCAGCUGUUCUGGACCCCUUGUAUGUUGACUUGAUCAUCUCAGCCUGAACGUGAUGUUAAAACAUCUGCCCUUGGAUAAAGCAGAGGGAACAGAGACAGAUGGAGGAUCAGCUAAAAGAACUGCAAAACCAGGGUGAGAAAAUUCUUGAUGAGAAACAAAGCCUUGGUGUUUCUUUAUGAAGCCAGAGAGAUGAUGCUUUCAUGGUCACACUUUCCGCAUCUAGCGUAGCAGGCCACGCUCAGCUCAGGCCUCAGGAGCUCCACUUCCAUCUCUUGCCAAUAACAAAGGAGGAACUUUGUAGCUGAAGUUACAUUAGCAAUGGUUCCAUUUAUGCAUCGACUUCCACCAUCUUCUUUUCUUCUCUUUCUGCUGUUUCUGGCCACUAGACCUCCACUGAUGCCUGGAGGCACAUCCUUCUCUGGAGGCAGUUCCCUGGCUGCUGGGAGAUGGCUCAUGUGGGCAGACCUUGUGCAACGCCUUGUGUGCUGCACCCCAAGAGCAGUACUGCCUGCAGCUUGCAGGGAGCUGAAAAACCCCUCUCUGUCAGUGUAAAGCCCUUAAAUGGCGGGACUGUUACAAGGGAUAGUCCCUGUGGCCAGGGUCACUGCAGGGUACCUGCUACUCCCUGGAAAGCUCCAGCUAGGGAAAAGAGAUCCAGGAGCUCUGACCUGAGGCUGAGCUAGACAUAGCCCAUGAGGAGGAAAGACAGGAGGGCAGGAGGUGCCCUUGGGCAGAAGGGAGCCGCCUGGUCUCUCCGUCCUCUCCCGACAAGCACCCUGCAGGGAGACCCUGGGCCUGUAGAGUACUGAGAGCACACUCCCAUGAAGAUGAAUGGGAGGAGGCUCCCAGCACAUGGCCAAGGUCCUACAGCCCCAAGCCAGGCCAGUCCCCUAGGUUCUGGGGACUGGGGAUAAGCCACUCUAUGGGCAUUGAGAUGCCUACCUCUUCUGCCUACUAAUACAGCCUCACACACCUCUCUUCACUGACAUAACAGGAAGCUACCAGCUUUCUAUUUCCUACACCAAUGCAGGGCCUUCCCAUGGCAAUAGCUUUCACUCACCACGAGUUUUAUCUUCAACACCUUAUUCUAACAAAUCUCUCUAAGCAAUACCUUGGCAUCCACCUUAACAGCUCAUCUGUUACAGCUGAAACAGUUUUGCGUCAAAAAAUGGCGAAAUGGAAAGAUUCCCGAGAGUCCAGAAUUCCAUGCCUACUGGCAAGUGCUGAGCGGCACACAGCAGCACAUUCAGCCGGGCACAGGGCGACCUUGGCAGCUGCUCACACAAGUCCUAGCGGAAAAAGAAAACCCUUCACAGUGGAACGAGUGACCCUGUAGCUCUUUGCUGGCAGAGUGGUACAACAGCUGAACAGCUUGCCCCAAGUGCUGGUGGAGCCUCCUUGCUCCGAGAUAUUCAGCACUUCACUACACAUGGCCCUGAGCAACCUGUUGCAGCUGACCCUGCAUUCAGCAGGGCUGUUGCACUCCGGGAGCACAGACGGGGCCUGCCGGCCGCAGCGAUACACAGAGAUCAGUCACGUCACGUUGGAAGAGGCAGGAAAAGGAAGCCAUUCACGGCGGGAUGAGUGAAGCACGAGGAAAGCAGGCCCCUGGGACGGAGGAAGAAGAUGCGCUUGAAGAGAGCCUAGCAGGCUGGUUGGACGUUUUGCUGCUGAGGACAAUCCCCCGGGACAAGACUAGAGGGAGCAGAGGUGGUGGCAAAGCCUGCGGAGACCCUCUCGGGAGGAGAGAGAGGCUGACAGAGAGAAAGCACAGCAGCCGCAGUGAGGAAAGCCACAGAAAGACACAGGCUGGGGAGAAGGCCUGGA